rnacentral:lncRNA from 7 species
CAUUCGCUACUUAAAACAUAAUAGCACUAAGGCAGAGAUGUUGAUACAUAAGCCUCGUUCAAUGAAAUCUACUUAAAACAUACUACAAAUUGCUCCUACUUACCAUAUUGAAUUAUUUGCAGCACCAUUUAUGAUAUUUCUUCUAUUCAUACAUUGCAAUUCCAUGCAAGUAGGUAAUGAUAUAACCACGAUAGAAUAUCUGCUAUUUGGGACCCCCUUGUACUCCCAAUAAAAAAUAUCCAAAACCAAACAGAACAAAAAAGAAAUUAAGAAUAGCGCAAUACCUGAUCAUUGCAUCAAGAACUGGCCUUGACAUCCUGACUGCAUUUUGAUAUCUU